rnacentral:rRNA from 1 species
AGUCGACGGCAGCGCGGGGCAACCUGGCGGCGAGUGGCGAACGGGUGAGUAAUAUAUCGGAACGUACCCAGAAGUGGGGGAUAACGUAGCGAAAGUUACGCUAAUACCGCAUACGAUCUACGGAUGAAAGUGGGGGACCUUCGGGCCUCAUGCUUUUGGAGCGGCCGAUAUCUGAUUAGCUAGUUGGUGAGGUAAAGGCUCACCAAGGCGACGAUCAGUAGCUGGUCUGAGAGGACGACCAGCCACACUGGAACUGAGACACGGUCCAGACUCCUACGGGAGGCAGCAGUGGGGAAUUUUGGACAAUGGGCGCAAGCCUGAUCCAGCAAUGCCGCGUGAGUGAAGAAGGCCUUCGGGUUGUAAAGCUCUUUUGUCAGGGAAGAAACGGCUGAGGUUAAUACCUUUGGCUAAUGACGGUACCUGAAGAAUAAGCACCGGCUAACUACGUGCCAGCAGCCGCGGUAAUACGUAGGGUGCAAGCGUUAAUCGGAAUUACUGGGCGUAUAGCGUGCGCAGGCGGUUUUGUAAGUCUGACGUGAAAUCUCCGGGCUUAUCCUGGGAAUUGCGUUGGAUACU